rnacentral:rRNA from 1 species
AUGAAAAUCUGGAAACUAAUGGCAUGGGUCGUUGGAUCAAGAGCGAAGGGUGGAGAUGUAAAGUGGGAUUGCCAACAGGUCACUCAACCCCAUUUUACACAUAACCCCUCAUUAAGUCCUACGACUAGAGAAAUCCUAGUGCCCCUUUGUCUGUUCGUCUUCGAACGACUCAUCUUCGAUCUAGGUAAGGGCAUGGCGCCAUCACCGGCCAGGGCCCAUCCUUCACCGCCGGAGACCAUGGCACCCCAUCCUUCGCCGCCGGAGAUCAUGGCACCCCGCCCUUCAGACCAUGUGGUGCCGCCACCCCUCCUCUCUGCUGCUCUUGUCGCUCCUCUGUACCCUCCCAUGCCCCCGCAGGUCAUGCCACGAUCGCCUCCGAGGCCACAACCUUCUCUGUCGGAGUUCAUGGAGACGCUCCCUACAGCAGCUAGGGUCCCCCCGCGACAGGCUCGGCUGCUGUGGCAUGGUGCUGGUUCCAUGGUGUGGAGAACUGCUUUAUGA